rnacentral:rRNA from 1 species
GACAGAGGGUGCAAACGUUGUUCGGAAUUACUGGGCGUAAAGCGAGUGUAGGCGGUCCGCUAAGUCGGGUGUGAAAGCCCUGGGCUCAACCCAGGAAGUGCACUCGAAACUGGCGGGCUAGAGUACUGGAGAGGUUGGUGGAAUUCUCGGUGUAGAGGUGAAAUUCGUAGAUAUCGAGAGGAACACCGGUGGCGAAGGCGGCCAACUGGACAGAUACUGACGCUGAGACUCGAAAGCGUGGGGAGCAAACAGGAU